GCGAUUUUUCUGCCAAAUGACGCGGCACGCGAAUGGAACAAAUGUCAAGAGGGCGAUCAGCAUUACGUAUAGCGGUCGGCCCGGGAAAGGAAAAUACAACCGAAAUUAUUUCCUCAGUAUUUUAACAUUUCUAUCAACAUUGCAUUUAGAAUGGCAGGUAAAAAAUAUCAUGUAGUGAAGAAUUACAGCUGUCAUUCUCAGCAUGUAAAAGGAAUAUCCGUUCCAUGAAUUACAGUUCAGCAUUUCUGAAACAACGCAUAUAAAUUUCUUUGUGACCUUGAACGUUAGCAAAAGCUAAACAUACUCACAUAACUUGCUGAAGUCCAUUUCUAAUUCGGAAAGUGAUUUUUUGUUCCUUAAAAUACUUCCAACUAAGCAAUUACUGACUUCACAUGGCACAGUGAAGGAAACUGUCUCCAAACUCCAACUUUUCAGAUAUUAAAUUCAUCAUAAAAUUUAGUAGUCCUUGUCUUAUAUUCUUUUCACAAAUUGAUUAAAAAAUUCGUAAACACAUUUUUUACGUACUAAUGACAAGCUGGAUGUUGCCCUUGUUUGGUGUGUAACAUAACAUUAAGGUGAUUUUGAAAAAAAAAAAAUUAAGAAAGGAGAGAAAGUCAAAUUCCUGGCAAAUUAGUCUUAGAGAUAUGUACCUGUCAGAAGUCAGAUUGCUUGAUGAAAAAAAACCGGAUAAAAAAAAUCUUAUUCGCGAAAUAAUUUUCGUUUUUAAUCACUUACCCAAAGAAAAUUCUGCAUUACUUAAUGCUUGAAAAUGUGAUAAACUAAAAACAAGACAAAAAGAAAGAAGAAAAAUAUGUGAAAAGAUUCUGAGGUUGUGGAGAAAAAGGACAUUUCAUUCUUUUUUUGUUAUUAAAUUGAAGAUCUUUUUGUUGUUGUUAAAACAUGUUUAGCCCUGAAAAUUGGAAAAUAUCACUCAAAAUUCUUUAUGGUGUUAAGAUAAAAAUAAUAAUUUUAAGAAUCAUUUUAAUGGCUUCUCAAUAUUUCGAAAUAGAUUUUGGUGAUCGUCAUUUAUAAAAAUAAGAAUAUCGUGCAUAUUAUAAAUAGUCUUAAAUACAGGAGUGAAAGCAAGCAAAAAUGCAUCAUGAUUUUCUUUCAAUUUCUUGUUAUUAAUUUUAAAGAGUAUUUCUUAUUAAUUUAAGUUAAACAUCGGCUCUGAUCUAAUUUAUAUUUAAAUUUCUAAACUCAGUUUAAUUUAACAAAAACGUAUUAUCAGGUAUCAGUUAAAGAAAACAUAAUUCACAAUAUUAAUGAUGUAGAUUAAUAAAUAUCUUAUCAAGAUCAGACGCUAAUAAUGAGGUAGAUUAUUAAAUUCUUAUUUUAAAGGUCAGAUGUUUUUUCAAUUAUUUAGAAACAUUCUUGAUUCCUUAUUCCAUGCUGUAUACUCAUCCGGGCAAUUUGUUCAUUUGUGAGUGUUCCAUUUCUAUUGAUUUCUGAGUAAGAAUUCGUUUUAUAUGCUUCUAUUUAUGUAUUAAUAUAAAUCGAAUUACCUUCUAUAUCUCACCGUCAAUUAGGGUUAAUGCAUAUUCUAUAGCUGAAAUCAUUAUUUUCACUUGUGCAAAUAUCGUACGUUGAUAGAACCUGGCAUGGCACUUUGGCACCUGGUGAUGAUACAGACACCAUACUAUGAUUCUUGCCAGAUGAAUUAUUCAAAGUUUUAUGUAAAUAGGAAAAACGUUGACAGUACUAUUAUUAAAAAAAGAAGGAAUAGGAAGCUCAAAGGAAAAAAAAAGAGGUUAGCAUCAAUUUAUAUAAAUUAAAACAAGAAAAUAGUUAUUCAAUGCAUUGUAUUGUUGAUACGUUUGAUUGAUCAUUGGUUUGAAUAUAAUCACGAUUCCGUACGAAAUGAUUUAUUUAAAAUAGAAAGAGAGAUCCGAACAUCAAUUUAUUUCAACAUUGAAAAACAACGCUUGAAAUGAAGAAUGUUUUCAUAGAAUGUAAAAAUUAUUCCUUCAAUCAUCAAAAGUGAUUCAAUUCAAUUUUAGAAUAAAGCCACUUUAAUUAAAAAUAAU